UGGGGAAUAUUGCACAAUGGGCGAAAGCCUGAUGCAGCAACGCCGCGUGAGUGAUGAAGGCCUUCGGGUUGUAAAGCUCUGUCUUUUGGGACGAUAAUGACGGUACCAAAGGAGGGAGCCACGGCUAACUACGUGCCAGCAGCCGCGGUAAUACGUAGGUGGCAAGCGUUGUCCGGAUUUACUGGGCGUAAAGGAUGCGUAGGCGGAUUUUUAAGUGAGAUGUGAAAUACCCGGGCUUAACUUGGGUGCUGCAUUUCAAACUGGGAAUCUAGAGUGCGGGAGAGGAGAAUGGAAUUCCUAGUGUAGCGGUGAAAUGCGUAGAGAUUAGGAAGAACACCAGUGGCGAAGGCGAUUCUCUGGACCGUAACUGACGCUGAGGCAUGAAAGCGUGGGUAGCAAACAGGAUUAGAUACCCUGGUAGUCCACGCCGUAAACGAUGAGUACUAGGUGUAGGAGGUAUCGACCCCUUCUGUGCCGCAGUUAACACAAUAAGUACUCCGCCUGGGAAGUACGAUCGCAAGAUUAAAACUUAAAGGAAUUGACGGGGUCAUAGC
rnacentral:rRNA from 1 species